rnacentral:rRNA from 1 species
AUUGAACGCUAGCGGGAUGCCUUACACAUGCAAGUCGAACGGAGCGGCGAACGGGUGAGUAAUGAAUCGGAACGAGCCCAGUAGCGGGGGAUAAAUACGCGAAAGCGUCGCUAAUACCGCAUGCAAUUGGUGCGGCCUGUAUGGGAGUAGCUAGUUGGUGGGGUAACGGAUCACCAAGGCGACGAUCCGUAGCUGGUUUGAGAGGACGACCAGCCACACUGGAACUGAGACACGGCCCAGACUCCUACGGGAGGCAGCAGUGGGGAAUAUUGGACAAUGGGGGAAAGCCUGAUCCAGCCAUCCCGCGUGUGCGAUGAAGGCCUUCGGGUUGUAAAGCACUUUUGGCAGGGAGGCGGUACCUGCAGAAUAAGCACCGGCUAACUACGUGCCAGCAGCCGCGGUAAUAC